ensembl:lncRNA
UCAGUAACAUUCUGAUAUGUACUGCAGUAACAUUCUGAUAUGUACUGCAGUAACAUUCUGAUAUGUACUGCAGUAACAUUCUGAUAUGUACUGCAGUAACAUUCUGAUAUGUACUGCAGUAACAUUCUGAUAUGUACUGUCAGUAACAUUCUGAUAUGUACUGCAGUAACAUUCUGAUAUGUACUGCAGAACAUUCUGAUAUGUACUGCAGUAACAUUCUGAUAUGUACUGCAGUAACAUUCUGAUAUGUACUGUAGUAACAUUCUGAUAUGUACUGUCAGUAACAUUCUGAUAUGUACUGUCAUAACAUUCUGAUAUGUACUGCAGUAACAGCAUGUUAUAAUCCUAUCAGACACAGAAGGAACAUUCUGAUAUGUACUGCAGUAACAUUCUGAUAUGUACUGCAGUAACAUUCUGAUAUGUACUGCAGUAACAUUCUGAUAUGUACUGUCAGUAACAUUCUGAUAUGUACUGCAGUAACAUUCUGAUAUGUACUGCAGUAACAUUCUGAUAUGUACUGUCAGUAAUAUUCUGAUAUGUACUGCAGUAACAUUCUGAUAUGUACUGUCAGUAACAUUCUGAUAUGUACUGUCAGUAACAUUCUGAUAUGUACUGCAGUAACAUUCUGAUAUGUACUGCAGUAACAUUCUGAUAUGUACUC